AACGAACGCUGGCGGCAUGCCUAACACAUGCAAGUCGAACGAGACCUUCGGGUCUAGUGGCGCACGGGUGCGUAACGCGUGGGAACCUGCCCUUAGGCUCGGAAUAACUCCCCGAAAGGGGUGCUAAUACCGGAUAAUGUCUUCGGACCAAAGAUUUAUCGCCUUUGGAUGGGCCCGCGUUGGAUUAGCUUGUUGGUAGGGUAAAAGCCUACCAAGGCGACGAUCCAUAGCGGGUCUGAGAGGAUGGUCAGCCACUCUGGGACUGAGACACGGCCCAGACUCCUGCGGGAGGCAGCAGUGGGGAAUAUUGGACAAUGGGCGAAAGCCUGAUCCAGCACUGCCGCGUGAGUGAUGAAGGCCUUAGGGUUGUAAAGCUCUUUUACCCGGGAUGAUAAUGACAGUACCGGGAGAAUAAGCUCUGGCUAACUCCGUG
rnacentral:rRNA from 1 species